AAGGCAGACCACUGCCUACGCCUACAGAGAAGCAGUGUCUCAGGGUGACGGAGAGGCCAGCGUUAAUUGACCUGGCCCUGCUGCUGGGAGCCACUGCUGAGCUGCGGCAGGAGAGCUGUGAUGGAGAUGAGACCCACUUGCAACUCACCAACAGGAAGUGAUGAGCGACAGUCAGCUGGUGAUUCAGACUGUGGGAGGGAGAGCAGCUCGAAGCCUAUUCACAGUUUUAAGUGGUUUACACAUCUCACACAUCCACGUACUAAUCUCAUGCUAUUUUUUGCAAUAGAGAAAUUUGGGGA
rnacentral:lncRNA from 1 species